UACGUAGGGCGCAAGCGUUGUCCGGAAUUAUUGGGCGUAAAGAGCUCGUAGGUGGUGUGUCGCGUCUGCCGUGAAAGCCCGGGGCUUAACUCCGGGUCUGCGGUGGAUACGGGCAGACUAGAGGCAGGUAGGGGAGAACGGAAUUCCCGGUGUAGCGGUGAAAUGCGCAGAUAUCGGGAGGAACACCGGUGGCGAAGGCGGUUCUCUGG
rnacentral:rRNA from 1 species